rnacentral:rRNA from 1 species
GUGGGGAAUAUUGGACAAUGGGCGGAAGCCUGAUCCAGCAAUACCGCGUGUGUGAAGAAGGCCUGAGGGUUGUAAAGCACUUUUAAUCGGGAGGAACAUCUGAUGGUUAAUACCCAUCAGUCUGACAUUACCGAUAGAAAAAGCACCGGCUAACUCCGUGCCAGCAGCCGCGGUAAUACGGAGGGUGCGAGCGUUAAUCGGAAUUACUGGGCGUAAAGCGUGCGUAGGCGGCCUGUUAAGUCAGAUGUGAAAGCCCCGGGCUUAACCUGGGAACUGCAUUUGAUACUGGGAGGCUAGAGUUUACUAGAGGGGAGUGGAAUUUCCGGUGUAGCGGUGAAAUGCGUAGAGAUCGGAAGGAACACCAGUGGCGAAGGCGACUCCCUGGAGUAAAACUGACGCUGAGGUACGAAAGCGUGGGUAGCAAACAGGAUUAGAAACCCCUGUAGUCC